GCUGGAGAGUCCUGGCUGAGGUCCGCAGAUGUUUGGUGCAUGUUGAGUUCUCUUAAAACAGAAAAUCCACCAGGGUGCUUCUUCCAGGCCCGUAGACACGCCUGCCUUUUCUUCCCUACUGCCUGUAUUCACAACCGAACCUGACCCACCGCUUCACCCGAACUUCCAUACUGUUGUGUUUUCCCUCCAGCCCCAGCGGAUUGGAUGGAUUCUGAAGGCGGGUCCGCCUCUUUUCUACAUGCUGGUUGGCGAAGCUGACCUCCAAGGGCGGUGCCGCGCCGGGGCCAGUUUGCUCCUGGGAUUGGCUGACGUGGUGGUUCCGCCGAGGCGUGGUAGGAAGUGGUAGCCGUCAAUCACGAGGGAGACUCCAAACAGUGAGCCUGGAGCUGGAGAACAGCGUUUACCGGCGGAGCGGCCGGUCUUAUGAAUGAAACCAUGGCUACAGAUUCUCCUAGAAGACCCAGUCGCUGCACUGGUGGAGUUGUGGUCCGCCCUCAGGCCGUCACGGAGCAGUCCUACAUGGAAAGCGUUGUGACUUUUCUGCAGGAUGUCGUGCCACAGGCUUACAGUGGGACACCCCUAACGGAAGAAAAGGAGAAGAUAGUUUGGGUCCGGUUUGAGAAUGCAGAUCUGAAUGAUACAUCACGGAAUCUAGAAUUUCAUGAACUGCAUAGCACGGGAAAUGAGCCUCCUCUGCUGGUUAUGAUCGGCUACAGUGACGGAAUGCAGGUGUGGGGCAUCCCUAUCAGCGGGGAAGCCCAGGAGCUCUUCUCUGUUCGACAUGGUCCAGUCCGAGCAGCUAGAAUCUUGCCUGCUCCACAGUUGGGUGCUCAAAAGUGUGAUAACUUUGCUGAGAAAAGACCUCUUCUUGGUGUUUGUAAGAGCAUUGGAUCUUCAGGCACGACGCCACCAUACUGCUGUGUGGAUCUGUACUCACUUCGUACGGGGGAGAUGGUCAAGUCCAUUCAGUUUAAAACGCCCAUUUAUGAUCUUCAUUGUAAUAAGCGGAUCCUCGUCGUAGUCCUGCAGGAGAAAAUCGCUGCCUUCGACAGCUGUACUUUCACAAAAAAAUUUUUUGUCACAAGUUGUUAUCCUUGUCCUGGGCCAAACAUGAAUCCUAUUGCUCUUGGGAGCCGUUGGCUUGCUUAUGCAGAAAAUAAGCUGAUUCGCUGUCACCAGUCCCGUGGCGGAGCCUGUGGAGACAACAUUCAGUCUUACACUGCCACUGUCAUUAGUGCUGCUAAAACACUGAAAAGUGGCCUGACGAUGGUUGGGAAAGUGGUGACUCAACUGACAGGCACACUGCCCUCAGGAGUGACAGAUGAUGACAUAGCCAUACACUGCAACUCAAGACGGAGCCCCUUGGUGCCGGGCAUCAUCACAGUCAUAGACACUGAGACAGUUGGAGAGGGCCAGGUGCUUGUGAGUGAGGAUUCAGACAGUGAUGGCAUUGUGGCCCACUUCCCUGCCCACGAGAAGCCAGUGUGCUGUAUGGCUUUUAAUACAAGUGGAAUGCUUUUAGUCACAACAGAUACUCUUGGCCAUGACUUUCAUGUCUUCCAAAUCCUGACUCAUCCUUGGUCAUCCUCACAGUGUGCUGUCCAUCACCUGUAUACACUUCACAGGGGAGAGACCGAGGCCAAAGUUCAGGACAUCUGUUUCAGCCAUGAUUGUCGUUGGGUGGUGGUCAGUACCCUCCGGGGUACUUCCCACGUUUUCCCCAUCAACCCUUAUGGUGGCCAGCCUUGUGUCCGCACACACAUGUCACCGCGAGUAGUGAAUCGCAUGAGCCGUUUCCAGAAAAGUGCUGGGCUGGAAGAGAUUGAACAAGAGCUGACAUCUAAGCAAGGCGGCCGCUGUAGUCCUGUCCCAGGCCUGUCCAGCAGCCCUUCCGGCUCCCCGCUGCAUGGGAAGCUGAGUAGCCAAGACUCUUACAAUAACUUUACCAACAACAACCCUGGCAACCCCCGGCUUUCUCCCCUCCCCAGCUUGAUGGUAGUGACACCUCUUGCACAAAUCAAGCAGCCAAUGACAUUGGGGACCAUCACGAAACGAACAGGGCCUUAUCUCUUUGGAGCGGGGUGUUUUUCCAUAAAAGCUCCAUGCAAAGUUAAACCGCCUCCACAAAUUUCUCCAAGCAAAUCGAUGGGCGGGGAGUUUUGCGUGGCCGCAGUGUUUGGGACCUCCAGGUCGUGGUUUGCAAACAAUGCUGGUCUGAAACGGGAAAAAGAUCAGUCCAAACAAGUUGUGGUUGAAUCUCUUUAUAUCAUCAGUUGCUACGGGACCUUAGUGGAGCACAUGAUUGAGCCUCGGCCUAUCAGUACUGCUCCCAAGAUAAGUGACGACACACCACUGGAGAUAAUGACCUCACCUCGUGCCAGCUGGACACUUGUCAGAACGCCUCAGUGGAACGAACUGCAGCCACCAUUCAAUGCGAAUCACCCCCUGCUCCUUGCGGCAGAAGCAGUGCAGUAUUACCAGCUCCUGCUGGCCGGCUCACUUCCCCCUGGAAGUCCUGGCCCCAUUACUCGACAUGGGUCCUAUGACAGUUUAGCAUCUGACCACAGCGGACAGGAAGAUGAAGAAUGGCUAUCCCAGGUUGAAAUUGUGACACACACUGGACCCCACAGGCGCCUAUGGAUGGGUCCACAGUUCCAGUUCAAAACCAUCCACCCCUCAGGCCAGACCACGGUCAUAUCAUCUAGUUCUUCUGUGUUACAGUCUCAUGGACCUAGUGACACACCACAGCCGCUCUUGGACUUUGAUACAGAUGAUCUAGAUCUUAACAGCCUCAGGAUCCAGCCGGUCCGCUCUGACCCAGUCAGCAUGCCAGGGUCAUCCCGUCCAGUCUCUGAUCGAAGGGGAGUUUCCACCGUGAUCGAUGCUGCCUCAGCUGUCCCUGAAGCAGCGACCUUGUCAGCCCACUGAGGUCUCUCUGCAGACUCUGGCACACAUCUGAAGGAAGUGGACCAAGAGCAGCUUUGUUACUCCAGACAAAGUGCUAAAAGAAACAGAAAGAAACAGCAGAGAAAAACCACACGACAUCUCGUGUACCCCAGAUCCUUUGGAUGUUUAAUGUGCAGUUUCAACAAGGGACACCCCUGAGUAAUACCUCACCUUCAAGACUGCAGCCGUGUUAAACAUAUGGGCUCGAGUUCCAUCCCUUGGAAACCAGCAGCUGUUCUCAGCUUGCCAACCCCAAGUAAACAUCGCCUGUGUAGAAGAGUGAGUCUGGAAUGGUUGAGUAAAAACCCAAAAGCUGUUUAGGGAGGAAGCAGGGAAAAAAUUAACAACAAUAAAAGGCCACCCUGAAACAACAGCUAGAAGAGAAAGAAAAUUCCAUUCCGAUAAGCAUGUUUUCCUGCCCUCCUUACACUAUGCUGUGGGGUACAGAUGGCCCCAGAGCAACUUCAGUUUUAAAAGGUUUGGAGGCGACCUUGUCUCCUUACUGAAAACCAUACGAUUGUCUCAGUUACAGUGAUUAUUUAAUAAAAUAUAAUUAUCUGAAUAAUUCAUUUAUUUGACUACUCGUCUGUGUCCUCCAGCCACAGAGGCCAGAAUGCCAAAGAUCAAGUAGAUUGGGAAAAUAGGAAAAUUCUCAUUAUAAAGACGAAGGGUGGAGGGAAAGGAUGGGAUACUUGGAAUUUCAACGCCGUGGUUUCUAUUUAUCUGAAAUGUCAAGGGCAGUGUAAAAUGUAUUUUUAAAAUGUGUUGCUGUGUGGUUUGUGCCCAUUCUUGGCAUGGCUAUGGUUCUACAGAGGCCAUUGUUCUUUGAGGAGUAUGAGGGGGUGUCUUUGUCCAAUGUGACAAAGAGAGGACUGAGAGGACUGGGCUCCCUUUGUUCCUGUGCGGUGCUGUAAAAGUUGGUUUGAAAUUAGGACCUCAGGGAAGGACCUUCAAUAGAGAGCUUUCAUUUCCUGCCAGCAUUUUAAUCACUGUGGGGUUUAAAGUGGAUGGCCAGCCAGCAUAAUGGCCCUAUGUCUAAUAGAACAGCUUGUAUUUUGAAGGCCAGUGAAGGGGUCUGUCAUCCGCCCAAUAUUCAUCUUCUGUUUCCUGUCCAUUUAUGAAGACCUCCCACCCUUUAGGUGGCUCUUGCACCAUUUUGUAGUGGAACCACUGCGGUUGCUUCUUUAAAGCGGCUGAGUUGGGGUGAAAGCGAUGCAGCCAGCAUCCGAGGUGGGACAGGUGCUAAUUAGACCCAGAGUUGGCAGAUGUCCCCAUCAGUUUCAAGAAUAAAGAUUUUGCCAAAGUAUAGAACAAUAGAAAGGCUAAACUGUAACCCUGUCUCUUCAGAAUUAUUAGCACUGAUUGACUCAAUAGGCAUCAAGUCACUGCCCCAGUGGAAGGUGGUGUCCAUAGUAAAUGUCCAUGAAGACGAGGGUUUCCCUCUUGUACAAGGCAUGAGCAGUGUCUCUCUUAUGAUGGCUUGUUGACUCUUGAAGCCUCCUUCAGGGAGCCAUUUAGAAUUUUACCCUCACAGUGUGUUCAGUUAUUCAGUACUCUUAACAGAGUGAAUGCUGGGGACAAGCUUUGAAAGAAAGAGCCAGCAUUAAAAGGCGAUGCUUAUAAAUAUGUGCACUAUCAUGAGCCUAUAACCUAGCUACUAGAAAGCGGAAGGCAGUAGUAUCACAAGUUCAAAGACACCCUGAGGUACAAAAGAAGACCUAUUCUCAAGAGAAAAAAUGCCAAGAGGUAAUAGUGCAUCACCCAUCACUCAGGAGGCAUAAGGAGGUAGAUCUCCAAGUUCGAGACCAGCCUGGUCUACAGAGUAAGUUCAAUGAUAGCCAAAGCCACACACACACACGGGGGUGGGGGGUGUUAGUGGGUAGAGACACAUGGCACCAAGCCUAGUGAGCUCAGCUUGAUCUUUGGGACUUCUGCAAGUUGUUCUCUGACAUCCACUGGCACAGUGCCAUGAUGUGCAUGUGUACGUACAUACAUACAUGUGUACAUACAUACAGUGUAAGAGAAAAAUAAAGAGGGAAAAUCUGAAUGUCUUCAGUAAUGUCUUGCCUUGUGGCCAAGAGUCAGGUAAGCAAAAGCCUCAGUGCCACUAACUCAGCAUGUUGAACACUAGUCACUGAACGUUCUCUGUGACCAGCUGUUACAGAGGAUCACAAGGUGUUUUUCUAGCUGAGUAAUUAAUUACAUACUGAAUGCCUGGACCUGAAGGACCUUCUCAGCUCCUAGUACCCCUAGCCAUCCCUCAGCCAGAAGUGCCUAGGGAGAUGGAGAUCCCAUUUUCUCAGGACUUCCUUCUUUCAAAGUAAAGAUGGGUUUCUCACCGAACGAUGAAGGGAUAUAUAGCCCCCAUUCUUCAAAAGUAAAAGGAUUUGCUCACUGCCUGUCUGUCAUGGGUCAUUGGUUCCUCCUUACCCUGAAGAGAGAAGGGGAGGGUCAUUGAGGAGACCUUCUCAUGUCCUCAGAGGAUCCCCUCAGCUCUACCUCUCUCUCUGUAAUCAAAAGCCAUUGCCUGCUUUGGUUGUGAUACAUAUGGUCACCAAAGGUCAUCUCCCUAUUCCUUGUAUUUGUGAUUGAAGGCUGUUGAAAUCCAGUUUCAGGGUAUGAACAAGAUAGCUGCACCAACACAGGAUGUGAAUCCAGUUUCCCAGCAACCAUGGACAAACCUUGUUGUGGCAACGUGGCCCUCUAAUCCCAGCACCAAUUGUGGGGUUUUCUAGCCACCAGCCUUGCCAAAAACUGACAAGCUCCAGAUUCAGUGAGUGACUCCAUAUGGAAUAAGGCAGAGAACAACCAGUGUAGAGUUGCAAUUUCUUCCUCUUCACAUAUACAUGCUAUGCGUAUGAUCACAUCCUCAUACACACGUGUACCACAUACAUAUGCACACACUGUAAGUAUAUUUGUUAGGUAUGUGUGUGUAUGUGUUCUUAAGGUGCUCCAGAGAUCGCCCAGUGGUAGUCCAGGCACAAGAACAUGUGUUCAGUCCCCAUAACCCAUCUGUGAAAUGCUGAGCAUUGUGGUAACCUUGCCCAGGGGAAGCAGAGACAGAGCUCUGUAGCUCACUAGCCAGCCAGUGUAGCCUACUCAGUGAGUUCCAGGCCAAUGAAAGGCUCUGUCCCAAGCACAAAACAAAGCAGGUAGACUGCUCAAUCCCUUAGGAAUGACAUAGGUUGUCAUCUAACCUCUGCGCACACAAAUGUGCACUUACACACAUGCAAAUCAGUCUAUGUUAAAAAUAAAAUAUAGCCAGGUGGUGGUGGUACACGCCUUUAAUCUCAGAACUCAGGAAUCAGAGGCAGGUGGACAAGCUCAAGGCCAGUCUUGUCUACAAAGCUAAUUGCAAUACACAAAGAAACCCUGUCUAAAAGGAUGAUAGAUAGAUAGAUAGAUAGAUAGAUAGAUAGAUAGAUAGAUAGAUAGAUAGAUAGAUAGAUGAUAGAAAAAAGAUAUGGAUGUUGUAAUACAUACAUGAUGGAUGGAUGGAUGGAUGGAUGGAUGGAUGGAUGGAUGGAUGGAUGGAUGGAUAGAUCCAUAGAUAUGGUUUUCAGUACUGGGAGCCUCUUCUCUGGUCUCUUUGACUUCAUUCCUCCUGUCUCUGGCUGCAAUUGUCCUGGUAUCCAAGUUGACCCCCUUUGUGUUAGCCUCCCUCGGAUGAGUAGCUUCUGGAAAACUAAUGUGAAUUGAGUGUUGCUCCCAGUAAGAGCAGCAGGCUGAAUAGCAUGCUGUGCCAGAGUAAAGGUGGCUGGGGAGAGCAGGCAGGCUCUCCCAAGGUCGGUCUUGCAUAAGUGCCUUGGUCUAGUAGAAAUUUGCAGUGUUAGACUGAGGAUGUUCUCUCUUAGUUCAUCCCCCCCCCCCCAAAAUGCCCCUGACAUUUCAGCCAAGGGACUAUCAUUGUCUUCAUAGCCGUCUGCUCCCACACAGAAAAUGCUGUGAUCAACUACUCAACAGUUCCUGUAUGACUCAGAGUAUGUUUGCUGGGUUAAAUGUUUGGGCAUAGGUUUAAAGAGAAAGCUGCCCACCAGAGCAGGGCCUUGGCAUCAAGAGUGUUGCCAAAGACUUGACUAUAAUCCAUUUCAUUCACUGUUACAGUUUGCUGUGUGGGUGUUUCCACAAUGUGGGAAACUCACUUCAUUGAAGAGUCUGAAUAUUUUGUAAGGAUGUGAAGAUUAUGAAUACUCUCUGAGACCAUGAGGAGGAACAAAGCAGCUAAUGUUAGUAAGAACUGGGAUACUGUUGUUCUCCACCAUUUGUAGGACUCAAUAAGAAUAUUCUAGACUUGACAGAUUUAUAUGCUCAACUUGCUCCUUAAAGAUUGUAUAUAUGGUAACCUGGGAAGAGCUCUGUUGUAUGGGAAACGCAUCUUUGUUGACACUUAAGUAGUUCUAACAUAAGAAGGUGCAUCAAUGAAACCAACACUAUCUAGAAAGAAGAAAGUUCUUUGUCUUGAGCUACCUGGACUCAUCUGUGGUGGGAGCAUGAACACCAUGAGGCAGCUGGAAUGUCAACUUUACUGCUGUGACACAGUGAGACUGUGGUGGAUCUCCAGGUUCAGGCUCAGCACCUCUUGUAAACCACCGUGGGAAACGUAUUGGCUUUGUGGUUGCCCCUUUUGUAGCCAGUAGCAUUUGGCUGGCUUUGUUUCUCCAGGCUCCCUCCAAGAGGUUUACCAAUAUCUCUAUGUUCUUCACCCGCUUCUUGUCCCCAUUCUUUCCAGAUGGGUAAUCCCUGCUUUAUUGUAUGUGUACAGGUGCUCUUACAUUCAGAACAGAAUCCUAGCUCAAUAGAAAUGUCUUUGAUGCAGAUUUGUCUAACCAUAGGAAAUUUAAAGCAGGCUAGUGCCAUGACUAUCUUACCUCAGGUUUCUGCAGAGGAUGUUUCUUUUUUGCUGUUGCUUUAUUUUUCUUUAUUUGAAAUAGGGGUCUUACUCUGUUGGCGCCAAACUGGCCUCAAACUCAUUAUGUGGCCCGACCUGCUGUAAAACACACAGCCCAGGCUCUCCAGUGCCUCUCGGUUUUUAAAAAGUAAUGAACAUUGGGAAAUCAUCAUUAUAGACAGAGGGACAGAGAAGAGAUUAAAAUUCACAGAUUUAGAGUUUUCAGGUUAUGGUUUAAUGCAGCAUGGGUGCAGAUCUGGACUCCCAGCAGGUAGGAAGGAAACAGCCAGAAGAGAAUUGAAUGAGGUAUUCAAGUCUGCCUCUGCCCUUCUGUAACUGCCCCAGUGUUACAAGAAAGACCUGAACUGAUGUGGCAGGAGGCAGUGAGGACCAGUGAGGAGGGAGGGCAGCGGAGACUCCCAGACUGGAAGGCAAGGAGAGUAGGGGCCUCCAGUGAUGGCUGAACUCAGGAAGUUCUUUGAGAAAUUCUGUAAACCUCUCGAGGCUCCUUCUAAAGCCAGUUCCAAAGCUUAUUCCAACUAUAGGGACAUUUUAAUAGACUGUCUUUAGAAUUAACUCAUUAGUGGCUUUUCUGGAAAAGGCUAAAAGGUAAGUACUCAGACGAGUGUGCCCUGAUAACUGUGUGCUAACGGUGAGCAGCAUCUAGCAGGAGCCGAGGCGUUGGCUUCAUCUCAGACUUCCCACCUGCAUGUACUUCAGGCACAGCCCACCCUCAAGAAACAGCCCACACAACGAACGGUGAAGUGCCUUCCAGUAACAGAUGGAAAUUAACGGACUAAUCGGGAGAGCUGGAGAGCUGGAGCAGAUAAGCAGAAAAUAUAAGUAACCAGGAUUAAUUUCACAUAUUGUCUAUUAUUCUUGUUCCCUUAAUCAGUCCUUGAGUUGAUCUAAUUCUUUUCAGCUUAGGGAGCUGGCUGAGCUCCCUGAGAAUCGGGGACAGGGAUAAAUUUCACCUAUACCCAGUGCUUUAACUCUCAUGAGAGGGAGCAGGCAUCUUCUGGAGUGCAGUGGUAGGAGAGGCUGUGUCAGGAGUCACCGGGAUCACAGGACCAAUACAAUAGCUAGCUUGUUGACUCUUGCCCUGAGUAGGGAGCCUACAUUCAACACUUCAUGUCUCCAUUAUUUUCAUUUUUAUUUACUUUUCUGCUUAUUUUAUUUUUGAGAUGGGGUAUUGCUGUGCUGUCCAAGUUGUCCUUGAACUCCUUGGCACAGGCGGUCCUCCCACCUCAGCCUCCUGAACACUUGAGACGUCACUACGCCCUGUGUUCAGUCUCGUGUUUCGGGGAGCAUCUAAACUAGAGGACACGUAGUUCCCUCCUAGGUCUUUAGCAAUUUUAUUGAUGUAUCACUUGAGAUCCCUCUAAGUGUCAGACCCCUCCAUGGAGUGGAGCCAGCAUCCCCUGUGCUGGUGAUGCCGAGAGGUGCCUCUUUACGUGGGUUUAGGGUACUCAAUGGCAAACUGAAAUGGCUAUGUUUGAGGUAAGGAUGGAAGUGUGCCUUCUGUACUCCGUCCUCACAUUGUACUAGCCCGUCAGUUCUGUUCACUCAGGCUCCAGCCAUCGUAAAUGCCAUCUCUAAAAGCAAUAAUUUUCAACCUGGACUCAAUACAGGAAUUUCACAAGGAUUCCAGAAAGCCCCCAUUCCUAGUGUGCACUCAGGUUGAUUUGUUUGUUUAAUGUGUUUGGUGUUUUGCCUGCAUGUGAAUAUGUGUACCACGUGUGUAUGGUGGAAAACUACCAUUAGCUUUUAACAAUGUCUUCCACAUUGAUGAUAGGAAAAGUCUAGAUUCCUAAAAAGAAUAGAUUGCUUUUCCACCUGGCCAGCUUCCAGUCUCUGUGAUGGUUUGGAAGCAUUUGUGAGGAAUAUUGUGCUCAGAAGUUACUGUGGCUCAGACAAUUUGGCUUGCCCCCAUAAUGUAAAUUAUAUGCACCCUUUCUUGAGAAAGAAAGAUAAACAGGAAGUAAGAGCGGAAGCACUCUUCAUCCCAUCCUGGUUAUUUGACCCACCGAAGGAAUGGGUAAAUCCUGGACACACUCCAAAUUUCCACAUUUUUAUUCCAUUAGGUUUUUGUUUUGUUUUGUUUUCAGACUUGGUGCCAUUAACCAGAUUCCUCGGAAGAGGGGGGUCUGCUUGAGAAAGGUUUUCCUUCAUCAUGUACCAUCCCAGGCUGCUUUGCCUGUAUUCACCUACGCCUUCCCUCCCUUCUGUUCCUUAAUGUGGUUGUAAAACACCCUAGUUAUAUGUUCAGAUGUCAGGCUUCUUUAAACAUAUAUUGGUGGCAGACCUCAUGCUAUCACUGAGACUUUCACGGUUUUGUGUGGAUGCUGCCAUAAGAAGUCCCUGAUGAUUUAGGUAGAGUUUGUGGAUUAUCUGACCUUGUCCAAGUCGUUCCCCCUUUAAUAUUGUGGUUUCAGUCCAUCCAUGGCAUCACAAUAUUGAACCACCCACGACAAGGAGAGCCCAGGCAAUUAAAGGAGGAAACGUCCAGAUUAAAACUGGCUUUACCCUCAUUGGUUUAUCAAGCCUUUCUCCAUUUCUAUCCUCUCCUAUUUCCCUGUGGGUGGGCCACUGUGAAUCCAUUACUACAGUGGCUACUGCUAGUAACAUUCCAAAAAUCAGGCCAUGUGUUAGCUGGAGACUUGAGACUGAGGAUUUUCUUCAGAUUGUUGCGAUUAGUUUAAAUUCUUGUAACAAGGUAGAAAAUAGCCCAGCUUUUUUCUUAUUUUCUGUUCUUAGAGCCAGAGAAAAGGGCCUUUUGCAAUGCUGGGCAUUGAAUUCAGGGUCUCUCACAUGUUGUGCAAGUGUUCUAACCAGUGAACUGCACCACCCAGCCCAAGAAGAAAAGACUCUUGAGACCUUCAUCUGCUCAGUGUCUGAUAAAGUUUAUGGAAAUACACUCCUGCAUGCAAAGCUACAAAGAGAAGUUGCAUUGCAUUUUCAUUAUUUUGCUACUGGUCACUUCUCACUAAAGAGGGUCAGCAUCAGGUCUGCCCAGUAUUUGAGAAAGCCUGGCAUUUUUUGUUAGGCAAGAAAGAUGUCCGGCUGAUAGGCUUAAUGUCUUCGUUCUAUUCUCCUAAUUUGUUUGUGAUAAAACAGCUGCUUCUUGGGGACUGGAGAGAUGGCACCACGAUCAAGAGUACACAUGCUUCUUGCAGAGGACCCAAGUUUGGUCCCCUGUACACACAUCAGGUAGUCACAACUGUCUGCAAAACCCCCAUCCCCAAUAUAUACAAGUGCACGUGAUUUUUAUAAAAUCUUUCUAAAAAGCCACCUCUUAUAUUAUGUGAUAACAUCUCAGGUCUCCAUGUGCUGUGAGAACAGGAGCUCAGCUAGGAUUGCCAUGGGUCCCAAUGUACCUAUGCCCUGGUUUCAUUUGUUGUGCCAGGGUGGAUAUGUCCUUCCUACUACUUCCUGCCCCAGGGAACUUAAAAAAGAAUUACUACUGUGUGUGACUGACUGUCCUGUUGUUGUGUUAAGAUACCUCUAGACAGACCAGCUUGAAGAAGAAGGUUCAUGUUGCUUUACCCUACCAGAAAUGUAAUGUCUGCAGUGGCAAGGAAAGCCCAGGACGAGCAGGAAGUGACUGGUCACAUUCUAUCAGCACACAGGACACAGAACAGGCAGUGGAGCACGGCUCUGUCACAUCAAAGCAAGGCUCUGCCUCCUAAAUAUUCCAUAACUCUGCCACCAACACUGCCACCAACUGGGGAGCGGAUGUCUUAAUCUAUGCGUCCAUGGAGGUCAUUACAAUGAUAUCAGGCUCCUCGCAUCUAUCACGUGCAUCCUGUUGCUCGGUACAGCUUGUUACUUGACUACAAUAACAGACAUCUUCAUUCUUUGUUUACCCACAAUGCGUAUCUAGAAUUACACUUCUGAGGUCUAUAAUGAAAUUUUGAUAGAUAAUCAGAAACAUCUCAAGUAUGAAAUCAAGUGGGUUUUAAACCCCUCAGUGAUCAUGGACUUUCCUCAUGGGUGGUAAAGAUUAGAUAGGUGAUGCUCACACCCCUUGUCUUCUAGAUAUGUUAUUUCUGAUUUAAAAAACACCAACUCUAUUCAGAAAUGUCACAUUUCAGUGGUGCCCAGCAGUGUCCUAAGUAAGAACAUCAUGAGGUGUAUAGGGCAGGAGUUUUCAGUCACCCCGUGUGUAAAUUGAAGACUUGGGGGGCAGCUCUUGACCCAGAUCUUUCUCUCCCGAAGGGGGGCCCUGCCUUGGUCCCUGAAUACCCACACCAGCAGUGCUGCCAGCUCAGAGAGUCUAUGAAAUUUUGAUGUAGAAAUUAGGUUGUUGCUUAUCUCGUACCUUCCUGCUCAUAGUAUUGACAGCACUGGAAUUGCUAGAGGCAGAUAGCAUCUCUGUGAGGGCUGGGCUGUUUCAGCUUUCCGCUGCUGACAACAUCAGAAGUGUUUUAACAGGGUUUUAAUGGGCAGCCCCUGUAGAUCCUUGGAGGGUUGCAAAUAGCUGCCGUGAGAAACCAUCUCCGCUGUUCUGGGCUGACAUGCCCUCUUUUCUCAUCCGUCCAACUGCCGCUUAUUUAGAUGGUCGCCUUCCUGGUGACAAGCACUUCUUAUUUGGGCUGUGGAGGGCUAGGGCUUGAAUUCCAGCGAUGUGAGUGUGAUAUAACAAAGGAAAGGUCUUCUAAGGACGAUUUCUUUCCAUCCUGAUGGGGGCAGGGAAAAAAGGGGGGGUCACAUGGGGUACACAUAGGGCAAGAAAUAGGGUCUAGUUAGAAAAACAUCUGCUGUUCCCAGAACUUUCAGAGAAAAAUCUUGGUGUGUCAUUGCAACUGAAGUUUCCAUUUUUGAUGGAGUCACAGGAGUCUACCGACUGCCAUUCUUAAAGCCCAUUUUGUAGCUCACCCAGUCUGAACAUUUAUUUCAUGGCUGCCAGGCAUGCAAAGGAGGAAAGCUACAUCUCCAUACGAGGCGAUGCCUGUGGGGUUUUCUCUCAUCUUAGGUCCAGUCCUGAGAGGCAAAGCAGGCUGUGUCCACUUGGAUUCUGUUAUCUCAGUCAGCAACAUCAGAUCCUAGGAUGAAGAAUGGGUGGCUGCUCUCCCUAGAAUCCUUCUUACCAAAACAGUGGCAUAGUGAAGUGAGGUGAGAGUGACCCAGGCUGAUUCCCUGCCAGCCACACCAGAGUUCUCACACCUGCACCAAAGAACAGCAGAGCAGCCACCAAGGAACCAGGGUGAAAAUGGAAGAAAAUGGUGGCAAAGCCUAGUCAAGAGGGACCUCUGGAAGAAAGGUGUGUGCCCUGCCUCUAGGAGGUGUGUGCACUCACUGUGGGAUCCAGGGUCUGGGAGGUCCCGUGGGGUCAGACCCCACAACUGACAUUGUUUCUCUGCAUUGCUUUUCUUCUCAGAGGCACUGUCUGGCAGCUUCUCAGUGAGAGCUAAGAACAUUCCCUCCUAAGUGUCAGAGCCAGACCCUUCACUUCAGGCUCUACCUACUUAGAAUUGGUUUUUAUCAUUAUCACUCUCGGCAGCGUUUUCAGGCUGCCUGAGAAAAGGCUCCUGUCAGACACUUAGGGCCAUUUCAUAGUGUCCUCGUUCUAAAGCACGCUGACAGUCUUGGGUUAUCGUCUGCCCUUUGGAGAUUUAAGAUUCUUAACUGUUGUCACCAGCAGAGGCAUGACUUUAGCUAUUAAGAGAUAAAUCUGAUUAUCGAGACUAGAAGGCAAAAGAAGCCAUUACACCUCUGGGCUGUGUUCUCAGAUUCUUGGAAAACCUAAGCCUUGUCUGCACUUCACAUUCUUACAUUGAGCACUCCUUCUAAAGCUGGGGUACUGAUCCUGGGGUACUUCUAGAACUGUUACAGCCCCUACCCCCCAACUAUGAACAUGGAAAAGGUCCUGUGAGAUGUGCCUGGCUUGGGAUCCUUUGCAAGGCACCUUGUAAAGAAAACAAGCCAGUUGCUAUGGUGAAUACUUGUUUAAUCUCAGCCUUAGGAGGCGGAGGCAGGCAGAUCUCUGUAAAUUCAAAGCUAGCCUCAUCUACUUAGUGAGUUCAGGUCAGCCAGAGCUACAUAGUAAGACCCUAAUUUGCCAUUGUGUACAUGUAACUGGCAUUCACUAAAUGUGGAUUUUAGGGAAACUGUGAGCUGUCAGGCUGGUUUGGGCUCUCCUGCCCCAGCCUUCCUUGCUGGAACAUUACAGAGGCAACUGAAUCCACCUCAGUACAUCUCCCACUGAACGUGGGGAGAAAAUUAUUAAAGCAAGAACCCCUUUAUUCAAAUAUGAACCUUUAAGCCUACUCACCCACCCAAGAACAAGAUCUUUCCAAGUCAUGUAUACCUCCUAGCACAUCCCUCUAGCUCCGCCUGAAACUCAAGGGUAGCCAAGGCUGCAGUGUGUUAAUGACUGCAAUGCUCAUGUGAAUCAGAAGGCACUGUUGCAAAGCUUUCUGCCCCACCCUAUCGCUCCUACAGCCUUUCGGUUGUGUUCUCUAGAACUUGACAGAGGUUUCACCUGUUGUAAUGUUACUAAUGGGAUGACUGUUGAGUUAGUAAAGGAAUGGGGCAGAAAAGACAGAUGCAUCAAGAAAAAAGGCAACGGUGGCAGCAUGUCUCCAGCAGACCAAGACAGGAAAGCACAAGUGGGGCGCCAGAGGGAAAGGACGAGGACUAAGGGCCUGUGAGCCUAGGAACUUACAGAGGCUUGUCAGACCAGAGUCACUGUCAAGAAGCUACAUCCUUAGCUUAGAACAGCUUUGACCAGGCAGCAUGGUCUGGGCCCUCUUUCUCCAGGUCCCAAUUUUCUUUGUAAAAAUGAAAAUGUAGUCUUUCCUCAGUGGAGGGGGGUGGAGACAGAGACAGACAGAGAGAGACAGACAGAGAGAGACUGACCAGCUCUAUAUUGCCUGAGGUGGAAAUGUCCUUGUCCCUCUGAUGUCUCCCUGUAAAAUGUCAUUCUCCGGCCUCAUGUCACUCAAGAAGAGUAAUUUUCCAUUUUUAUCCUGUGACCCACUAUUCUUGGAUAAGGGGAAGCAGGGUGCUCUGUGACCCCAGGCUGGUAGAUGUUUGGGUUUGUUUGGCUGGCUUUAUUUUGGUUCUGACCUUAGUACCAGCCCUGAGUUUUCACGGAGCCCCUGGGUUCUGCCUCCCAGCUGCUGGGAUCACAGGUGUGCUCCUGGUUGUGUUGUGUUCUGAGGGUUACUUCAGUCGCCUCCACUCCAGUAGAUCCCCACUGCCUUCCUGUGUGCUCCCCUCUGAGAAACACUACUGGCCAAGUGAGUCUCUAGAUUUCCUUCAGUGGUGGUGUCCCACCACACCCGUCUUCCCCCUUGCCAGUUUCCCAUUGGACUAUUAUAGUUUCCAAACGUGAAGAAUACCAACAUAGCAUCCACCAGCCUUCCCUUUUACAACUGUGUUUGGCAAUUGUGGGACACAUUUCUUGCUAAGAUUAAUUUUCCUUCCAAUAUAUGACAGGGUGCAGAGUCUUAAAAAUAUAAAUACUUAAACCAUUACAAACCAUUAUUUUUUAUCAAGUUCUGGACAGUUUGCUGUUAACCUCACCCCUCUCUAGUGUUCUCUGGUGUGUUGUGCCCUCAAGCCGGGCAUUUUCCUGUUUUCUUUACCAUUUGCUGGUGUCCAGGUGAAAACUGUCUUUAACCAUGGUCAUUAUUAAACAGACAUGGAGACAUUCAGCCCUUCUUUCUGCUCUGAACUUUGAGUACUAAAGUGGGUUACUGACAGAGCCUGAAGUCUGAGUUAGGCAGGCAAAGUGUGUGUGUUUGGCUUUGCCUGUUCUACAGGGUGUGUCAAGGACCAGAGAGGAUGGGAAGGUUUGAAAAGUCAAAAUGAAGAAUAUAUAGGGUUGCAGAGUUUCUUACAGCUAUGGAAUCAGUCAAUAGGAAGUUUGUUCAUUGAUGAGAUAGGGUCGUGCUGUGUAGCUCUGGCUGUCCUGAAACUCACUGAAUAGACUCGCCUGGCUUCAAACUCAGAAAUCCGUUUGCCUCUGCCUCUUAAGUGCUGGGAUUGAAGGCGUUUGCUGCCUGGCCAGACUGAAGACUUUUCAUCUUCUCUGCCACUUCCUUGGUCUUGGUUUUGUAGCAGGUGGUCUGUAUACCCCAGUUUCUCUGUAAACACUUAAUAUGUGAAGUUCACUUUUGGGUUUUGGAUUGGGGGUUGGUUUUGGUGGUGUUUGGGUUUUUUGUUCUUUGAGAAAGACAGGGUCUUUCUAUGUUGUUCCUGCAUCCUGAGUGCUGUGGUCAUAAACAUGUACCCAGCUUCAGCAAAGUGAAUUUUAAGAAUGUAUUUCAUUUAACACAGAAUAUCUCAAAUGCUGUCAUGUUGAGAUUUAAUCAAUAUAAAAGCUAUCCAUGAAUAUGUUGGAUUUUUUUAAUGCUCAGUUUUCUAGCCCACUAUAUAUUUAGAUUUACAGUACAUUGCCCUCAGACUGGACUAUUUUAGAAGCUUCAUAGCCACUUACUGCUUAGCACAGAGCUAGAAACAGACCCCACAUUCUGCUCUCUUCUAUUCGCCUGCUCUACCUUUAUGCACGUGAAGGGAAACACUAGGCUUGACCUCAGUCCUGGCUUGCUGAUAGCUCUGUGGACCAUUUAUAGAUGUUCUGACGUGGCAGAAGUUAAUCAGAAUAAAUUUUGCUCAGCAUCAUUAGCAAGAGAUUUGUAAGCAGUUCUAUAGUGAGAAAGCCAACACUGUAGCAAGUCUCUCCUUGUGGACUUAAGAUUUUCUCCUUUCUUUCCUGGCCAUGCCUGCCUUCGCCUUUGGGUCUAAUGACCUUGGAAGAGCACAGAUUACAUGCUAAAUAUGUUACCUCUCUUCACUUUAGCAAGUGACCUUCCGAAUUGCCAGCACCGAUCUAAUUCCAAUCACUUCUAAAGUUUACCUUUUACACUUGUGUUGGUUUUAGCCAGUGGCUAUUGUGUCAAAGGUCAUGAACUUGUCCACUUCCUCACAGAGAUUCUCAGUAUGGUGUCCGGGUGCCAAGAUCGUUCUGUGUCUGCUUGUUUGAUUCUGCUGCCACUGAUCUGCUCAUAAAAUCAAAAGGGCCUUUAUUAUUUCAGUAACAGCAGUGAGGGGAGAGGAGAAAUGAGCAGAACAGAGCUUGGCAUCUUGAUUAUUCUUAAAUCUUUCUAUAACUGUGUCUUCAUGGUUGAUAUUUUACCAGCUUAGAGCUUCUAAUUGAAAACAGAUUCCUAAUCUCUGGAUCAAGAAGCAGUGUAAACUCAGGGAACCCUAGCCCAAGUCAUUUGGAGACGCUCAGGUGUCCUUCUGUUUGAUGGUCCUGCCAUCAGUUUGCUCUCUCUGUGUCACUUACUGACUUGAAAGCUUCAUUCAGCCUAGUGUGGUGCUGAAGAAGAUACUUAUUUUUAUUUUAAAAGAGGGAAACCAAGGCAGAGAGGGUAUAGAUUAGUUAUUAGCAAUAGCUCAAAGGAUUUAUUACUUUUAUUAUUUUUUUUUUAAGUUGGCCUCACCAUGCAGCUCUGGCCAGCCUGUGACUUGCUUUGUAGCAAAGGCUGGCCUUGAACUCACAGAGAUCUGCCUGCCUCUGCCUCCUAAACUCUGAGAUUAAAGGUGCAUAUUGCCACACUCAACUAUUUUUCUUAAAUGUGGAAUUAUGGGGAAAAAAACAGACAAAGCUUUUUCUUAGCUAUGGGAUGUGUUAGAUUCCACACUGGAAACAGGUUGACGUUUGUUUUAUCACAGACUGCUCCUGUUUUGAUCAUCUAUGUUCAGAUACAGUGGACAGCCCUAAUUGACUGCUUCCACAAUUGUGCUGUACCAGGUCCCACUUUUUUCUCCUGUCAAAAUAUUCUGUAGCAUACUCAGGAAAUGUUAGUUUUUUGCUACCAGCUUUUCAAGUAAAUCCAGCUUGCUCCUCCACCAUACAGAGCCAUAUUGGAAGAAUUUAAACUAUGCCAAUAGGUUGGGCUUUUAUUUCCAUAGUUAGAAAAGAAACUUGCACAUAAUUUUUUAAAAUGUUUUAACCUGAAGCAAGAGAGAUGGGUCAUCAGUUAAGAGCACUUGUUGCUCUUGCAAAGGACUGGAAUUUAGUUCCCUGCACCCAUGUGGUGGCUCAAAACCACCUGUACCUCCAAUUCUGGGGAAUCUCACUCCCGCAGACUUCCUAGGCAUCAAAUUGCAUAUGGUGCACAUUGAUGCAUGCUGGUAAAACCCCAAGCUCUUUCUCCAGUUCAUGCUUGGUUUCUCCCCUCCUUUCCCCUUCUUUCCCUGCCCUUCUCCCACUUCCACUAACAGACCUUGACUCCUGUUUGUAGAACCUGGGCUUUAGUUGAACUGCUUUAAUGAGAGGGAAAUCCUUUACUGUUUUUAUUUGAGAUUCUCUUAAGCCCAGUUAUACUGAAACCUAUGGAGACUGCAGGCAUUCUGGAAUCUCUAAGCUAAUGCUGCCUGCACAGGAAACUAUAAUUUAUCAUGUUUUUGAGGCAGGCCCAGUCAAAUUGGUGAAUCACUUUCUUAUGCUUCUGAAUUCUUCAUGUAAAUACUGCUGUUUGGUUUCAGACCCUGGGACAAGGGACUGAGGCUCAUAUUUUACGUACCAAAGCAGACCUGACCUCCAGGUUCUCCCAGCAUCCCUCAGUACCUACCUGGCAUACCCUGCCCCCAACCUUGAACUUUCCAGCCCAAAGGGGUUGGGCUGCCCUUCCCCAAGAGGCUCUUCCCUACAUCUUUCCCAGACAUUUUGGUCUUUCUCUUCUCUUUCUCUUUUCUCUCUGCUCACAUGCCCUUUCUUUCUUUCUCUUCUCCCCUGCCCCUCUUGGAGACUAACCUGGACUCAAUCCUUGGGGCCAGUGAACUUGCCAGAACAGCUUCCCAGUAAACAUGUCUUUAAUAUAAUCAAUCUGUUUAAAGUAGCUCUUUUCACCAGCACAGAAUAGCAAUGGCAGAGAGCUGUGAACUGUAUCUCUUUUGACCAGACCCUGGUUGAAACCACAACCUAUCAGGAUUUUAUUCAGAAAAUUCCUGUUCCUAUAUUACACAUACAUGUAGGAAUUACAUUUCUGUCUUUGCUCCAUUUCACAGAGCAAAAACAGGUUAAUAAAGACUUUAAGAACUGCCUUAGUGCCCUGCAUGUGGCAAAGCCAUUUAACCUGGUCCCUCCUUCAGGUCUGAAAUGCAGAACUAAGCUCGACAUUUCGUAAUCACAUCUUCAGAAGAGGUAAAGAGGCAGUGGUGCUGUGGCUUGUCUUACAGCGUGCUGCUGUGUGUUCUCUAUAGCCUAGGGGUUCCUUAUUCUGGAUGGAAUGUACCUUUGUAACUGUGGGGACUGAUGGUAGCAUUUUAGAAUUAGAUACACUUCAAUGAAAGGGUCAUUUCCCUAAAUAUUAUUAUCUGACAAAGUGGGAGAUUAUUUUUCUUUUAAUUUUGGAACUCCUUGGAAUAUUACAGUUUUCACAGUCCCUGGUACACACCCCUAACUUCUGACAACCUAGGGCCAGUGUUCUCUUAAGCGGAGAGAAGCCUAUGGGUGCCUAGCAUGUGCAAAGCCUUAGGUUCAGUCCCUAACACUUCAUAAACCAGGCCUGGUGCACAUACCUAUAACCUCAGAGCCUGGCAAGUGAAAGCUGAACAGGCAGUUUGGCUACAGAGUACAUCUGAGGCCAACCUGGGUUACGUGAGUCUUUGUCUAAGAACAGGGGGCUGGGACCAACAUGAUGGACAGUUCCUUCAAGCCCAUUUCAGUCUGGGUUGAGUGUUCCCCCUCUUCUUAUGCACAUUUGAGCCCCUGCAGAGAUGACGGUUAUUAUCAUCAUUACAGUAUCUUCCUUAUCGUUAUUUGAGAAUCACGUAUCUGCUUAACAUAUCACUACUGCCGGACUCGAGCUAGUAAAAGUACUUUGUCUGUCUCAGUUGGGAAUUUCACGGAAUUUGCUUCAGUCUGACUGUGUUUCCAGAUGGAGCCCUGUGCCUCUGUGUUGGUUUCAGGCCUAGAAGAAGCCAUUGCUUUGCAGUGAUCUGUAGCCAAGUGACAGUCCCUGGGGACUAAAGGGGUGACUAUUAGGAGUAGGAGUGUGAUAAACCUUGUUAUUACUUAAGAAGGCUCUAAGAAUCCCUCCCCCACCCCUCUGUAUUAUCUGGCUGUGCUCUUAAGGGAAUGAUGGAAGCCAGGGUGGGAUAAUGAAGGUUAGAGCUGAUGGGGCAGGUUCUGACAGCCCAAGUCUCCCCUCGGAAGCUUCACACCUUUGCGCUCCAGGGAAGUUUUGACCCCAAGCUUUUACAGAUCCCUAGUAAACUCUGAGUUUCCCAGACCCUUGUGUGGCUAAUGUCUUUUGCAGAAACAAGUUUCUAGCUGAAACCAGCCCAUCAGCCCAGCUCCUCAUAGGCUAUAAUCCAGUUUUGGAAGAGAAUGUUAGCCUGGCCUUCUGUGCUAGGUAAAUAUUCCUAUGAAGUGUUUCAACUGUAUCUUCCCUGUCAAGACUGAGUAAAGAGAGGACCCAAACAAGGGGUAAGCCCACCUGCUCCAUAUCUGGAGCCUGAAUGGGGCUGGAAGACCGGAGAAGGGCUCUAGGAACCCUCCCCAGUUCACCGAGGGACUCUGGGCUGGCUGCAGCCUUUGUCCCUCCAGUUUUUGUUUUGUUUUUCUUGUGUAACUUAAAAAUGAAAGGUCGGGCAAAUUCUUUCACUUUUAAGUCUGCCUCUCAUCCUGUCUCUCUGAACGCAGAUGCUGUUUUCUAGUAGUUUUGCACAGGACUCCAAGCAGAAGGAGAGGAGAACUUGGUGAAGGAGGUGCUGAGAGGACCCUCUCUGGCUCCUCUGUGCUCUGUGUGCUCUGUUGCUCUGUUUUUUGUCGAGCUUUCUUCCAACUGCACCACUCCAUAAUUCUGAUGAAAGCGAAUUGAGUCUUAGGAAUGUUUUUUCUUUUUACUCUCUCCCCACAUCAGGAAGGAGGAAGGAGAGAUACCAUGAGCUGCACUGUGACUUCAGGUAGCUGUAGCUGUGAUUCAUUAACACAAAGGUCUAAGCCUGCGGAAGUCACAGAUUUACAGCAGAAACCUCUCUUCCUGAGGAAAGAGGAGAUGGAUACUCUGAAACUUGCUCGACUCUGCCCACUUGGUCCUACCUAGUUCCUACCUCCCUCCUAUGUUUCCCAAGACCCUGUGUCCGUAGCACUAGGAGGGCUCUGGACUUUUGACCUAGAAAGGAUUGCCUUGGUUCCCCAUGUCCUCCUCUCUGACUGUGAGCAGGCUGACAUGUUCUGAUUCCUACCCAUCUCAACAAAGACCUUUGAGACUUGUAAAUGGCUGUAUAAGACUAAAACCUCCGCCCUCCCUCCAGAGGAAAGGGCUGUCCUCCUCUGGGGUGCCCUGUGGCUGCCCACACAAUGACUGCUGGGAGGAGAUGACACCUCCAUGUCCAGAUUGCCAUGCAGUCUCAUUCGCAGUUUCCUGGAUCGCAUCACCUUAUCAGCCAUGUUCCCGUCCAUGGCUGAUGAUUCUGCUCACCCUGAGCUGUGGUGUUGACCAGCCAACAGCGUUCACACUGAUUGUGAACGCCACAUGUCUGACUCCAAACUUCCCACCGAGAAGGAAUACAGUGUUUUCUAGGUCAGCCCUGCUCUGUCCCAGGCACUUCAGAUGUGUUGGCUCCUCCAGGCUCUAUGACUGGCUGGGUAAAGGCUGGAAGACAGAAUAGGUGCAGGAUUUCCAGUCUUUCUCCAGUAUUUAUAGCCAAUGGAUUGCAGACAGGCGGGCUGCCCUGGUCCCGAAUGAGUAUCUUUUGUCUGAAAUGGACAAGUUGGAGAAUUUGGCAUUUUUGACAAAUGAGUUAAGCCACUUGAGUUGCUCGUGCACGGAUGUGAUGGUUUGGCAGGUGGAGUUAUUCUAUUAUGUUAAAAUUUAUUAACAAGGGCUUAAUUUCAUUCCAAACAGAUUGUGUCAAGGCGCCCGUGUACUGCGGAAUACAGUGAAAUAUGAGAGUCUUGAGCUUUUAGUGGAUGUUGAGUGCAAGACCCUGGCUCAGCCUACCUCUCUCUAAGCAGCCACAGCCACGAAACUUUCUUGACCUUUUCACCCUUCAACUUUGCUUGAACUUGAAAGACUUUUGAAGACAGAGAGAGAGAGAGAGAAGAGGGGGGUUUGGUUGGUGGGGGGAGAGGUUGGUUGGUUGGUUGGUGAAGGCUGUGGAAGAGAGAUGUAGACUGGGGUGGGGGUACUGAUUAUAUGUUAGCUAACAGUAAUACCAGGAAAAUAAUCCUCCUCUGUGUAUGAGUUUCUGCUACUGCGAGCUGGGGUAAUCAGCUCACAUGACAUGCUCAGAGGCUAAUGCUAGCCUGUGCUGUUUGUGAGCGUAUUCAAACAAAGGCUGAUUAUCCAAACAAGAAUUUGGACUGCAGCAGUCGGACCAGUUAAAUUAUAGUUAGUAAAACUUGGCGCCUUGCGAGCUUGGAAUGUUCCAAUUGCAGCUGGAUCUUCAUUUGUCAGGCAGCCUCACUAAACAGUAAAACCAGAGAUUUUUAUCUCCCCAGGACUCCAUUUAACUCCUUGGGUGCAAAGAGCAGCGUGCCAACUAUCUUAGUUUGGACUCCUGGCCACUUCCCCAUCCUGCGGUGCCUGAGGUGAUGACCAGCAGUUGUUUGCUGCUGCUCUGUCAGAAGGUGGAUUUUAUACUAGAGAAAGAAGUUGAUAUUCUUCUAGUCCAUAACUGCUUUAUUAAGUGCUAUAACUGAGGAUGCUUCGUGCUGGGUACUCUGUUUUAUGUGAAUGGCCACAAUAGAUGUCAUAAAAUAACCAACUGUAAAAAGCUUACAAAAACUGGACAAUGGUGGCGUACUACUUUAACCUUAGCCCUUGGGAGGCAGAGGCAGGCAGGUAUUGAGUUUGAAGCCAACCUGAUCUGCACAGCAAGUUCUAGGCCAGUGAGGGUGACAUAGUGAGACCUUCCCUUCAACAAAAAUUACUUUAGAAAUCGUAAGAGUCAUUUAGUGUCACGGCGAUGGAGAUGAGUGUUUGAGCCACUAUGGAUGGAAAGUAGGACCAACCUUCGAAGGUGGGACCAGAGGAGAUUUUAUGCAGAGCAAGCAAGAGCAAAGGGACUGAGGCAGGAAAUACAGUGUGAGAGAGUAGGUCAGGGGUUCAGAAGAGAACUGCCCUGGUAAAGGAAGAAGCGGCCAUCCAAGUUUUUUUUUUUUUUUUUUUUGAUAUAGCUGUCUUUAAUAAACAUAUAUUGGGAACAUACCAUAUGCCAGGACAUUAAAUUCUCAAAAUAAUUCUGAGAGACUCAAAGAAACCUAGUGACUUUCCCAAUUCCAUACAACAAGAGUGGUGUUUUAAACUUCAAAUCCCUCCCAGCUUCUCAGGACCAGGCUCUCCUCUUUAAUCCUGCUGACUUUGUGAUCAAAGUAUAGCAUGGACUAGGCAUGCUUUCAUGCAGAGGCCUCCGUGUAGAAUGGCGAUUCUGAGAGGAUUUCUGUGCAUGGGAGAUCGCCACACUGGAGAAGACAUGGGCAGGACAGUUGCCACCCUGCACUGGUUUAAACUUGUGGGAUGCAAAGCGAUUCUGGGAACAGUACUUCCCUUUGACUGACUCUGUCACAGUCUGGUCUUAGAGUUACUUCCCACAGAGAUUUUAACGCAGUAAGAGCUGAUUUUGGCAGGGUAUCGGUCUUUACGGCAGGGUUGCCUUUUCUGGGAAAUACAUCUGAUGCCGUUAGUGUAUGGCUCUCUGCUUCCCAGUUUCCGUGGGGUAUCAGCACCGUGUUCUUGUCCUCUCUUGACCUUGCCACUGUCUUGUUUUCUUUCCUGUCUUCUUUGAUAUACUCUGUUAUUGUAAGCCAGGCUGUGGCUUCUGGGAGGGGUGAUUGGCAGGGUCAGGGAGACUUAAGCACUGAGACGUGUGUCCCAGAGGUGGAAGCCAGAUUUCCUCUCAGGGCCCCGAGGCCAAGCUCCCGUGACGGCUUUAUGGGCUAGAAAUAGCAAAAUCAAAAUGGAUAUUGCAGAGUCCAGACACGCAAAUAAGAAAUCCAAAUGCUUGGAAACCUAAGAUUUUAAAUUUUUAUCGGUAUUUUUUUUUCACAAUUGAAGCAAACUAGUGUACCUCCAAGUCAGCUUCUCCUCUGAACAGUAGGCAUGGUGGGGGUACAGUUCUUCCGAGCUGAUUUUCUCCAUUCCGUUUUGUGAAGUGAAGGCACAAGCCAACCGGCACCACCAUCUUUGAUCAGCUGAGAGGACAGCUCUCUGCAUGUGGAGUUUAGAGCACAGAUCUUCACUUCCAUGGAAGCCCCAUUGAAGAUGCCCAUUUACCCUCGAGGGAAGCCUGGUUGUGAGCUUCUGGAACUCUACAGGUUUCCAGGUUUGGGAUACUGGUUUUACUUAGUCCACAAAGCUCUUAGGCGAUAGCUCCGAGCCCCUCAGAGAUGCUAUUACAAGUGCAGGGAGCAUCUCUCUUUGUCCUGCAGUGUUGGUGGAGUGUGGUAGUCUAAGGAUGAGUUACUUUCCCCGUCUGAUGUUGAUCAUCUCUCUGUUAUCAGUGGCUGGAAGAUUAACACAGAAAGGACUUGGUUCCCUCUGGUGAUCAUGUUUCAGCACCUCACUCAGGAGUAGCAGAGGAUAACAUGCAACUGUUAAGAUCUCGAUCAUGCUAAAAGUAUUAAACUUGGCUUUCAGAGAUUAGCUUUUUCCUACUUAAAAUUAAGAACUCAAAGAUUUUAAUCAAGAUAAUCCUAAAAUGUCUUAAGGUACAACUUUCUCUAGGGGUGAUACACUUGGAAUAGUAAAGACCAAGGGAGGGGUGUGGGUUAAUGUUUACUCUUUUAUUACUAUUUUAAUCAAAUGGCUUUACAACUUGACCUUUUAAAUGUGAAAAUGUUUCUUUAAGAGAACACUCAGGUGUGGGCAACAUCAUUGCUGUGUUGAAAGUUCACAGCCCUAGACGCCUUUUCCUUGCAUCUUAAAUAUUUUUUGGAAAGUAUGUUUCGCUCGGGGUUCACAUUCUCCUGAUAUUUGGGGGUAGGUAAGAAUGCCAUCUGGGUGAGACACACAUGCACGCACACACGCAGGCAGGCACGCAUACAUGUGAGGCUCCUCUAGUGUGUAGUUUCUUAUUUUCACAGUAAUCCUGCCAGACAGAAUAAUGUUUUUGUUUCAUAGAUAAGAAGGCUGACCUGGGGACUGGAGAAAUGGCUCAGUGGUUAAGAGCACCCGACUGCUCUUCCAGAGGCCCUGAGUUCAAAUCCCAGCAACCACAUGGUGGCUCACAACCAUCUGUAAUGGGGUCUAAUGCCCUCUUCUGGUAUGUCUGAAGACAGCUACAGUGUACUUGUAUAUAAUAAAUAAAUCCUUAAAAAAAAAAUCUUUAAAAAAAAAAGAAGGCUGACCUGUAGAGGAUACAUAGUAGGAACAGACUUUGAAGCUGGGUUCUAGAGACUCAAAUCCAUAGGCUUUUCACUGCACCGUGACACUGAAAGGAACACAUUUGAGCUGCUGUUCUUUAAGCUUUUUAGUGCCAGGUGGUGCCACACAUUGGUCGUCUCAGCACUCAGGAUAUAAGAAAGGAAAAAAAGCAAGGAGGAGGAGAAGGAAGAUGUAUGGACUUGGGUUGGAUGAGGUCGUUUGUGUUACUUAGGAGGUGAGCCAAGAAGUCAGGAGCCCAGGACCAACCUGUCUACUUGUUUUCUGCUACAAUGUAAAUUGUAGCCAGCAGCAGCAGCCAACUGUUCGUUAAUGUGGAGGAAAUGUUAUAGUCAACGAGCCUGCUGGGCAGUGGUGGCCCAGCCUUUUAAUCUUGGCACUUGGGAGGCAGAAGCAGGUGGAUCUUUGAGAGUUCCAGGACAGCCAGGGUUACACAGACAAACGCUGUCUCGGAAAACAACAACGACUACAACAACAACAACAAGAAAUAGACAGUCAGUUUAAGAUCUAUACUUCUACUUUUUUCUCGCAGAGCGUAUUGCUUUGCCCUCAGUUUCUAGUUUUAGCCUCUGUUUCUUCUGUGGUGGUUUGAAAGAGAAUGUUCCCAUAGGCUCCGGCAUUUGAACACUUAGUCCCUGAUUAGUGAUGCCGUUUGGAGAGAAGCAGGCUAGCUGGAGGAAUGCAUCACUGUUGGUGGGCUCGAAGAGCUUAAAGUCCAUUGCACUUCCAGAAUUCUCUUGUGGUUAAGCAUGUGGUCUCUCAGCUUCCCUCUCCUGACAUUAUGUCUGCCCCUUGCUGUUGUCAUGCCUCCCCACUGUGAUGAACUUGUCCCUUUGGAACCAUAAGCCAAAAUAAAAUCUCUUCUUCUUAAAUUGCUUUUGGGCAUGGAGUUUUAUCACAGCAACAGAAUGGUAACUAAUAAUAUCUUCAGAAAAGAAUCUUUAGGCCAAACUUUUUAUUUUUAAAUCUCUACUACUUUAUUAAGACAGGUUUUUUUUCUUUCCUUCUCUUUCUUUCUUUCUUUUUUUCUUUUGUGCAGAGAUUUGGAGGGCAUCUUCCAGACAGGCUCUUGCUACCCAGCUCUGCGUAGACUAGAACUUGCUGUGUAAAACAGUCUGGCCUGGAAUUCACAGGGGUCUGUGUCCCUCUGCCUCCUGAGUGCUGGGAUGAAAGGCAUGCUCUACUGUACCUGAUGAGUUGUAGAUUUUUAAUGUAUAUAACUUGAUGAGUUUAGCAGUAAAUGUACACCCAGUGAUUCUUUAGUUUAUGUAAAUUUUAUAAUUUAUUAAAGAUGAAAGAAGCCUGAGGGAAGUAGCCAUGCUAGAGUGUUUGCUUUGUGUGACUGGCUCUGGGGUUGGUUGUUAGUCCACACAAAACUUGGUGCACACCUGUAAGGCUGAAGCUGUGGGUACAGGAGAAUCAGAAGUUCAGGGCUGUUUGAGGCCAGCCUGGAAUACAAGUGACUAUAUCUUAAAAUGUUUUCAUCAAAUUCCCAUAUGAAUUAGAUGGAUUGCUUUUUAAUCUUAUAAAACAAUUGACUCUUGCCUGAAUAUGUGAUACUAAAGAAUAUCAAGUAUACCCAACAUUUUUUCAGAGUUCAUCAAUAUUUUAAUUUUAUAAUACUGAGAAUGCUGUUCCAUGUACAGAAUGGCAGGACUCAAUUUAGGCCCUGUGAUGGCUAAUCUUGAUUGUCCACUUGAUUACAAUCUGGAAUUAACUAAAACCCAAAUGGCUAGGUGCACCUGUGAAGAAUUUUUUUUUAGUAUAUAAUUUAUUCUUAUUUUAUGUUCACUGGUGUUUUGCCUUCAUGUGUGUCUGUGUAAUGAUGUUAGAAGCCCUGGAACUGGAGUAAUGGACAGGUGUGAGCUGUCAUGUUAGUACUGGGGACUGAACCCAGGUCCUCUGGAAGAGCAGCCAGUGCUACGGCCCCAGGGAUUUUUUUUUUUCUUAAUUAAAUCAUUUGAAUUAGAAAGACCAAUGUCUACUCUGGAUUUUUGAGAUAGAAGCCGUUUAAUCUAGGCCACACCUUCUGCUGGCAGCUUCCAAGGCCGUGGAAGAAGGAAGCUGUCUUUCUCUCGGCUUGCCUGCUCUCACUCUCACUAGCAAGUCCAUUCCUUCACUAGCAUUAGAGCCUGCUUUUUGGGGAUUCCUACAUCUACUGAAGACCAGCUGAGGCACCCAACUUCCUGGCCCAAAGGACUACUGAAUUGUUGGCCAAUAGAUAGACAGCCAUAGUUGGACUAGCUGUACCACAGCCUGUAAGCUGUUCUAAUAAAUAUCAUACACACACACACACACACACACACACACACACACUCUCUCUCUCUCUCUCUCUCUCUCUCUCUCUCUCUCUCUCUCUCACUCUACAGGGCCAUUUUAAACAAUUUUAAAUGCUUUAAACCUUCUGGUAACAUUAGAGUUUCUGUUUCUAAUCUAUAAUUCAAUAAUUUUUUAAUUCAACUCAAUUCAACACCUUAAUUUUUAAAAUUUCCAUUUUAAAAUGAAAAUAUUCACUACUUAAAAAUGAAUGUUCUAUGGGGUUGGGGAUUUAGCUUAGUGGUAGAGCGCUUGCCUAGCAAGCGCAAGGCCCUGGGUUCGGUCCCCAGCUCCGAAAAAAAAAAAAAAAAAAAGAAAGAAAGAAAAAAAAAUGAAUGUUCUAACAUAACAUAGUCCAAAGACAGAUUAAUUUGUACUUGUAUGUAAAAGAAUGAUGGAGGAAAACAUUUUUAAAAAUUUCUAUAAUUAAGCAAUUGUUUCUAUAAGAGCAGAGCACAUCAGAUAUAAGGUAAAAGUGGGGCAUGCUAUAGCACAGUUGUCUGAAGUGUCUCUCUCUCUCUCUCUCUCUCUCUCUCUCUCUCUUUUUCUCUCUCUCCCUGUGUGUGUGUGUGUUUCCACAUCUUCAUGGCUUAAUCAUCUUUCAUAGACAAAGUUUUGUGCCCCAUGAAUAAUGCCUCCUAAUCUAAUCUAAUCUAAUCUCCUAAAGGUUCCAAGUAAUCACCAUGUAGAUUUUAGGUUUAUUAUGUACUGGAAUCAGGUAGGAGUCGCCUUCUGUAACUAGCUCACUUCGUUUCAUUUACCUUACAUCCAGUUUGUCAUAACUGGAAAUAUUUCUCUCUUUUUUUGAGAUGGAUGUCUCAUUGGAUCUGUGUAUUAUAUUUUCAUUAUCCAUUAUCCUUUGUAAAUAGGUGUUCAAUUUGCCUCUGUGUUCUGAUGACUGUGACAAAUGCUAGGCUGAGGGCAGGAAGACAGGUCUCUCACCAAAACCCAGAUCUCUGUUGUUUUUUGAUAGGUACCCAGAAGUAGAGUUACUAGAUUUUUAAUUUGAAAAAAAGCUAAGGUGCCCUAUACUGUUUUCACAUCAGUUCACCAGCUCACGUUGCCACUCACAGCUCCACUGCGUCCCUUUCCUAUGCGCAGUCACUUGUGCAUGUGUUGUAAUAGCUAUCACCGGUGAGGUAAGAGCAGGGACGGUGUUUGGAUCGGAGUUCUCCUGAUUAGUGAUGUGGAGCACACUUUAGUACUUAUCUAUUUCCUUUGUGAACCUGGGAUGAGGGUUGCUAAAAAUGACUAAAGUCUCAUACAAUAGACACCUUAUUCAGAACAUCAGACAAUUUAUACCCAGAGGAUUACAAAAGGUCAGCUGAGUAGGCUCAUGAGUUCACACUGUCUGCAGUCACAAGGAUAUGAGGAAUACCAGCUGCCGGAAACCCACUCUUCUCCAAGACACCUGAGGAGCACGGAAACACAGUCUAAGAACACUUCUGUCAUUUGAAGAAACUGAGGUCACAAGACUCUUGUUUUCCUGUAACCUUAUCACAAGCACUAAGAAUUGACCUUUCACGAAUCCAUCCUUGGACCCCGUCCCAACACUUAUUGGCCAGUUUCUCUUUUUUUUAAGCUGGGUUUCACUAUGUAGUCCAGGCUGACCUUCACUGUGUAGUCCAGGCUGGCCUUAAGCUCACCAUCCUCCCACUUCAGAGUGUAGAAUUACAGAAUCAAACCAAUCCGAAUGUGGUGGUACAGACCUGUAGUCGAAGGUAACUUACACACUUGUAACUAUGUUAAGAACAUGUCCUAAACAAGUGUGGUAGUUUGCAUAUGCUUGGCUCAGGGAGUGGCACUAUUAGGAGGUGGGGCCCUGUUGGAGUAGGUGUGUCACUGUGGGUGUGGGCUUUAAGACCCUCACCAUAGCUGCCUGGAAGUUAGUCUUCCACCAGCAGCCUUCAGAUGAAGAUGCAGAACUCUCAGCUCCUCCUGUACCAUACCUGCCUGGAUUCGGCCAUGUUCCUACCUUGAUGAUUCUGCACUGAGCUUCUGAACCUGUAAGUCAGCCCAGUUAGAUGUUGUCUUUUGUAAGACUUGCCUUGGUCAUGGUGUCUGUUCACGGAAGGAAAGCCUUCACAAGACAACAGGCUGGUGUCCAUAGAAGCUGCACUCUGAAAGCUCCAGGGCUUUGCUACACUUCCUUUGUCCUGGCUGCUGCUCCUGUUGCCUCUUCCACUGCACGGCCAUCCAACAGCCAUUGCCAAGGCCAGCCCCACUGCCUCUUCUGGUUUUCCUAUAACUUUUACCUUUUCAGGCCCUGUGUUAAAGGAGGGUUUUGUACAUGGUACAUAAUAAGAGUUUUAAUUUCUUUUUCGGUCAGAAACUUACUGUGUAGACCAGACAGGCCUCAAACUCAAAGACAUCUGCCUACCACUGCCUCCCUAGUGCUAGGAUUAAAGGCAUACCUGACCCAAUUUCAUUCUUACUAAGAAAUUAAAUUAUAAUCUUAUAUCUUUUAUCCCAAGUUACCUGUUUCAGUUUCUCCCUAAACUUAACAGUAGAUAAAAAUGAUUUUCCGGGGCUGGGGAUUUAGCUCAGUGGUUAGAGCGCUUACCUAGGAAGCGCAAGGCCCUGGGUUCGGUCCCCAGCUCCGAAAAAAAGAACCAAAAAAAAAAAAAAAAAAAAAAGAUUUUCCAUGAAACUCCUCUCAGAGAAGAAGCCCAGACCCAGAUUCUGAGUCCUCUAUUCUGAUGUCCAUUCAGUUUGUCACACAGACUUGGACAACAUAGUUCCAUCUCAAGAAACUGCAGACUCAGAUCUCAGGGUGCAGCUCAGGGUGCUGGGCUGCAUUUCCAGUAACACAAGCAAAACACAAAUAUAGUGUUACUAUUGCUGUGACAAAACACCAGACAAAAGCAGCUCUUACAAGGACAGCAUUUAAUUGGAGCUGGCUUACAGAAAAGAGUCACUUGGCUUAUGCUUCCUCACUGUAGUUACCACCGAAGGAAGAGAGGGCAGGAACUGGAAGCAGGGGCUGAUGCAGGCGCUAUGGAGGGUGUGACUUACUGGCUUGCUCUCCAUGGCUUGCCCAGCCUGCUUUCUUAUAGAACCAGGACCACCAGCCCAGGCAUGGCCCCACCCACAAUGGGCUUGGCCCUCCCCCUUCAAUCACUAAUUAAGAAAAUGUCCACAGGCUUGCCUGCCUGUUAUACCAUUGUACAGAGAUGUUGUCUCAAUUGGGGUUCCCUCCUCUAAAGUGACUACAGCUAGUGUCAAAUUGACAUAAAAUUCCCGCAUACACAGCAACAACGAAACCUCGGAUACUUUCUGACUAGAGUGAGCAUCAUUGGUGUGAUCUUUAGGGUUUUCCUUUACCUGAACCAUUUCAUCCACUGCCUGAAACUUCAAAAACUGAAAGGAAUAAUUGCUCACUGUGUGGAGAGCUAGGAGAUGACGGUUCACUGUUUGCUUCAACCCCCAACCCCAAAAGAGUAUGUCAAGGAUGAGACUGUGGGGUUGGGGAUUUAGCUCAGUGAUAGAGCAUUUGCCUAGCAAGGGCAAGGCCCUGAGUUCGGUCCCCAGCUCCAGAAAGGAAAAAAAAAAAAAAGGAUGAGAAUGUGGUUCAGCUGGGGGAUGCUGGCCCAGUGUGCAGGGAUUCUUGGUUUUGAGCUUCAGCAUCCCAUGUGCUGGUCAUGGUGAUAUGUGGUACAUGCCUGCAGUCCCAGCCCUGGGAGUCGGAGGCAGGCAGGUAAGGAGCUCAAGGCCAUCCUCAGUUACACAGUAACUUCAAACCCAGAGCAUUUAAAAGCCAUGUUUUCCUCCCAAGUCACAUUUGUUAUAGGAAAAAUAUAAAGGCAAAUAGAAGGAAGUUGAAGAUACUUAAAAUUCCUUUGUUGAUACCGUUUAAUGUCAUUGUUAACAAGCACAUACUCCAGCUUUAGAGUCUGUGCCAGUCUUUUGAAAGGUAUUAACUAAAAGACAAAGAAAUUAGGUUUCAGUGGGGUAAGGUGGGAAGUAAUAGAGGAACCCUUUCAGUCUCAAAAGAUGGUGUGGGUAAGUGAAUGAGUUUGGAGACACAGUGACUAGGAGUUAUUAAAAAUUACCUCAUCCAAGAACAGUGUGGGAAAGUACCUCAUUGUCAGAUCCUUCACUCAUUCUUCCAGUAAAAAUGAAAAAAAAAAAAAAAAAAGAAACCAACUCACGGGGCUGGAGAGAUGGCUCAGAGGUUAAGAGCACCUGACUGCUCUUCCAGAGGUCAUGAGUUCAAUUCCCAGCAACCACAUGGUGGCUCACAACCAUCUGUAAAGAGAUCCGAUGCCCUCUUCUGGUGUAUCUGAAGACAGCUACAGUGUACUUAUAUAUAAUAAAUAAAUAAAUCUUUAAAAAAAAAAAAAAAGAAAGAAACCAACUCACUUUAUGUGUUUGUGUACAUCUGAGUGCAUGGGUGUUUGUUAUGAAUGCAGUUCCUGUGCAGUCCAGGAGAGGGUGUCAGAUCCCGAGGAGUGGGAGUUACAGACAGUUGUGAGCCACCAUGUGGGUGCUGGUCCUCUUGCAAGAGCAACAAGUGCUCUUAACCACUGGGCAUUUAGAAGAAAGAGAUACUAAGUUUGACCUGAUGGCACAUGAUGGUAAAUUCCAACACUUGCGUGUAAGAAUUCCGAGGUAACCUGGAUUUAUGAGACUCCGUUUUGAGCAGACAUUUGGAUGUAUAAAGAAGCAACAGGAUGCGGCUGAUCUACUUCCCACUCGGUGGUGUUUCUAAUUUGCCAUUCACCUUUCUCGGUGGAGCCUGAAAGACUACAAGGAAGUAUUUAAUCAAAUAUUAUUGAUCUAUAUAACAUUGCUUGUUUUAAAAAGGUGUCCCCAGACCAUCUGGUGUCAAUGGGCUGUUCUCUUUAGUAGAGAAUUUUAUGUGCCCAAACUGAAGUUAUGGGGGUCUUCUGUGCCCGCCUGUGUGCAGAUGAAGAGCUUUAACCUAGCCCUUAAAAAAACUCAGCUCCCAAGGGAUCCUAAAGCUACCUCUUGUUUCUUCAUCUCAAGGUGUUGUUGAAAACAAAAGCAAAAGGACUCUGUCUGCCUCCCCUGACUCCUGCCAUGCACUGGGGGCUAGUGGGCAGAUCUUAGGCUCUGUGGCAUGUUUGGUGGGGACUCAGUCCAAGGCUAAACCUUGACGUGUUAAAGAAAAGGAAGUUGGGGUGGGGGAGGUCAGAGUUGAGUAACCUGUCCAAAUUGUUCCGUGUAGGAAGUCUGGGACUGAGCCGUGCCGCUAGCGUGGCCGGAAAAACUGAUCUGUAUCCAUGCUGCUGUCUUUGAGGUACCUUCGACCGGAGCGUGACCCUGUUGGAGGUGUGUGGGAGCUGGCCUGAGGGCUUCGGGCUGCGACAUAUGUCCUCCAUGGAGCACACAGAAGAGGGCCUCCGGGAACGGCUUGCAGAUGCCAUGGCCGAGUCACCGAGCCGAGACGUUGUGGGAUCUGGAACAGGUAAA